rnacentral:misc_RNA from 1 species
AAGUCGUAACAAGGUUUCCGUAGGUGAACCUGCGGAAGGAUCAUUAACAUGUUGGAGUGGCCUUCGGGCCCGUCCUCCAUAAACCCACCUCUGUGUACCUUUUCCUGUUGCUUCCGCGGGACAUCGGGGUUCGCCCCGGACGUCUGGCGAGGAGGGAUGCUCCGUCCCUUCGUAGCCACGGCGGAGCGCCCGCGGGAGGUCAUCCAAAGAAACCCAUUUGCAAUACAUAUCUUCUGUCUGAAUGAAUAAACUUAAUAGUUAAAACUUUCAACAACGGAUCUCUUGGUUCUC